AAUUUAUUGUCGAUUAAACCUAAAAAACAUAAAAAAGGGUUGGUCAAAAAAAUAAGUACAGCAAUUCUUCAAAGCCUCUAACUUAAAAAUAAAAAACAUUUUCUCAAUUUUUUUCGUUUUCGAUGCUAACUGGGCGACGCUAAUUUGACAGACAAAAAUAUUUCCUGGAUUUAAAAAAAGUUUUUAAUUUUAUACGUUUUGAAUUUUUGAACCUGUCGCGGAACGGAUUAGGGUUAUUGAUAGUAAGUUAAGUUUAAACUCAGCGCCGAAGUAUUAUUUGUAUCGAUAGCUUUGGUAUUUAAGUUUAGAUUAUCUGGUCCCACGAAAAAAAGUGUAACAAGAGGGAAACAAUUUGGCGGAAUUAGACCGAUUUGCGCCAUCACGAUAAGAGGGAAGAGAAACUGCGAAUAAAACCAUCAACAAACACAGAACUCCAACUGUUGUCCAGCACUAGUGUUUAAAGUGUUUAAAUGCAUUCCCUGUGAUCGGCCAAGCGGCGACAGAACCCAAACAACAUUUUUUGCCACCCUGACGGAGUGAGAUGGAAAAUAUGGAAAAAAUGGACGGAGUAAGAUGGCAAGACUCUUUUGUGUCUGCUUCUCCAAGAAUUUCAAGCAUUCGAGAAAACAGCAAGAAAUUAUUGCAAGAACUUCUAAAUAGCUGCAUUAUUGAAAGUGAAGUUUGUUUCCAAGGUUCUUCAAAAGCCAAAACAAAUCAAAGCUCUGAUUGCGAAGUUUCCGAAAAUGCAUACUAUCACUAGUCCAUUGUCCACCAAAAAAAAUUGUACUGAAAACUUCCAAAAUGAAGUUUUGCAACAUUGCCAACAGACCAAGCCAACUUCAUUCGACUUUGAAUAUGCUGAAUGUAAUAUGGUCAAUACUGAAAAGAUUGGAAGAGUGUAUGGUCUUUAGAUAUACCCCAAGUCAUGGAAAUCGCCAUAAUUUCAAAACAGAAGAUGUGGUUUUAAAAAUAAUACCGAUCGAGGGUUCCACUGAAAUCAACGGAGAAAUGCA